rnacentral:rRNA from 1 species
UGGGGAAUAUUGGACAAUGGGCGAAAGCCUGAUCCAGCCAUGCCGCGUGUGUGAAGAAGGUCUUCGGAUUGUAAAGCACUUUAAGUUGGGAGGAAGGGCAUUAACCUAAUACGUUAGUGUUUCGACGUUACCGACAGAAUAAGCACCGGCUAACUCUGUGCCAGCAGCCGCGGUAAUACAGAGGGUGCAAGCGUUAAUCGGAAUUACUGGGCGUAAAGCGCGCGUAGGUGGUCUGUUAAGUUGGAUGUGAAAUCCCCGGGCUCAACCUGGGAACUGCAUUCAAAACUGACUGACUAGAGUAUGGUAGAGGGUGGUGGAAUUUCCUGUGUAGCGGUGAAAUGCGUAGAUAUAGGAAGGAACACCAGUGGCGAAGGCGACCACCUGGACUAAUACUGACACUGAGGUGCGAAAGCGUGGGGAGCAAACA